rnacentral:rRNA from 1 species
AGUGAACGCUGGCGGUAGGCCUAACACAUGCAAGUCGAACGGCAGCACAGUAAGAGCUUGCUCUUACGGGUGGCGAGUGGCGGACGGGUGAGGAAUACAUCGGAAUCUACUUUUUCGUGGGGGAUAACGUAGGGAAACUUACGCUAAUACCGCAUCCGACCUACGGGUGAAAGCAGGGGAUCUUCGGACCUUGCGCGAUUGAAUGAGCCGAUGUCGGAUUAGCUAGUUGGCGGGGUAAAGGCCCACCAAGGCGACGAUCCGUAGCUGGUCUGAGAGGAUGAUCAGCCACACUGGAACUGAGACACGGCACAGACGCCUACGGGAGGCAGCAGUGGGGAAUAUUGGACAAUGGGCGCAAGCCUGAUCCAGCCAUACCGCGUGGGUGAAGAAGGCCUUCGGGUUGUAAAGCCCUUUUGUUGGGAAAGAAAAGCAGCAGGUUAAUACCCCGCUGUUCGGACGGUACCCAAAGAAUAAGCACCGGCUAACUUCGU